rnacentral:rRNA from 1 species
UAAUAUAAAGAACGACUCUCGGCAACGGAUAUCUCGGCUCUCGCAUCGAUGAAGAACGUAGCGAAAUGCGAUACUUGGUGUGAAUUGCAGAAUCCCGUGAACCAUCGAGUCUUUGAACGCAAGUUGCGCCCCAAACCUUCGGGUCGAGGGCACGUCUGCCUGGGUGUCACGC